rnacentral:rRNA from 1 species
GCAAGUAGAACGCUGAAGGAGGAGCUUGCUUCUCUGGAUGAGUUGCGAACGGGUGAGUAACGCGUAGGUAACCUGCCUGGUAGCGGGGGAUAACUAUUGGAAACGAUAGCUAAUACCGCAUAAUAGUAGAUGUUGCAUGACAUUUGCUUAAAAGGUGCAAUUGCAUCACUACCAGAUGGACCUGCGUUGUAUUAGCUAGUUGGUGGGGUAACGGCUCACCAAGGCGACGAUACAUAGCCGACCUGAGAGGGUGAUCGGCCACACUGGGACUGAGACACGGCCCAGACUCCGACGGGAGGCAGCAGUAGGGAAUCUUCGGCAAUGGACGGAAGUCUGACCGAGCAACGCCGCGUGAGUGAAGAAGGUUUUCGGAUCGUAAAGCUCUGUUGUAAGAGAAGAACGAGUGUGAGAGUGGAAAGUUCACACUGUGACGGUAUCUUACCAGAAAGGGACGGCUAACUACGUGCCAGCAGCCGCGGUAAUACGUAGGUCCCGAGCGUUGUCCGGAUUUAUUGGGCGUAAAGCGAGCGCAGGCGGUUAGAUAAGUCUGAAGUUAAAGGCUGUGGCUUAACCAUAGUACGCUUUGGAAACUGUUUAACUUGAGUGCAAGAGGGGAGAGUGGAAUUCCAUGUGUAGCGGUGAAAUGCGUAGAUAUAUGGAGGAACACCGGUGGCGAAAGCGGCUCUCUGGCUUGUAACUGACGCUGAGGCUCGAAAGCGUGGGGAGCAAACAGGAUUAGAUACCCUGGUAGUCCACGCCGUAAACGAUGAGUGCUAGGUGUUAGACCCUUUCCGGGGUUUAGUGCCGCAGCUAACGCAUUAAGCACUCCGCCUGGGGAGUACGACCGCAAGGUUGAAACUCAAAGGAAUUGACGGGGGCCCGCACAAG